rnacentral:rRNA from 1 species
UGGGGAAUUUUGGACAAUGGGCGAAAGCCUGAUCCAGCAAUGCCGCGUGUGUGAAGAAGGCCUUCGGGUUGUAAAGCACUUUUGUCCGGAAAGAAAUCCUUGGCUCUAAUACAGUCGGGGGAUGACGGUACCGGAAGAAUAAGCACCGGCUAACUACGUGCCAGCAGCCGCGGUAAUACGUAGGGUGCAAGCGUUAAUCGGAAUUACUGGGCGUAAAGCGUGCGCAGGCGGUUUGCUAAGACCGAUGUGAAAUCCCCGGGCUCAACCUGGGAACUGCAUUGGUGACUGGCAGGCUAGAGUAUGGCAGAGGGGGGUAGAAUUCCACGUGUAGCAGUGAAAUGCGUAGAGAUGUGGAGGAAUACCGAUGGCGAAGGCAGCCCCCUGGGCCAAUACUGACGCUCAUGCACGAAAGCGUGGGGAGCAAACAGGAUUAGAUACCCUGGUAGUCCACGCCCUAAACGAUGUCAACUAGUUGUUGGGGAUUCAUUUCCUCAGUAACGUAGCUAACGCGUGAAGUUGACCGCCUGGGGAGUACGGUCGCAAGAUUAAAACUCAAAGGAAUUGACGGGGUCAUAGCUGUUUCCU